rnacentral:rRNA from 1 species
UACGUAGGGGGCAAGCGUUGUCCGGAAUCAUUGGGCGUAAAGCGCGUGUAGGCGGCUUCGUCAGUCCGUUGUGAAAGUCCAGGGCUCAACCCUGGAAUGCCGAUGGAUACUGCGGAGCUAGAGUCCGGAAGAGGCGAGUGGAAUUCCUGGUGUAGCGGUGGAAUGCGCAGAUAUCAGGAGGAACACCGGUGGCGAAGGCGGGUCUCUGGCCCAUUACUGACGCUGAGGCACGAAAGCGUGGGGAGCAAACAGG